UGGGGAAUUUUGGACAAUGGGGGCAACCCUGAUCCAGCCAUGCCGCGUGCGGGAAGAAGGCCUUCGGGUUGUAAACCGCUUUUGGUCGGGAAGAAAGGGUUUGGGUUAAUAACCUGGACUGUUGACGGUACCGGCAGAAUAAGCACCGGCUAACUACGUGCCAGCAGCCGCGGUAAUACGUAGGGUGCGAGCGUUAAUCGGAAUUACUGGGCGUAAAGCGUGCGCAGGCGGUUUGUUAAGUCUGAUGUGAAAGCCCCGGGCUCAACCUGGGAAUGGCAUUGGAAACUGGCAAGCUAGAGUGUGGCAGAGGGGGGUGGAAUUCCGCGUGUAGCAGUGAAAUGCGUAGAGAUGCGGAGGAACACCGAUGGCGAAGGCAGCCCCCUGGGCCAACACUGACGCUCAGGCACGAAAGCGUGGGGAGCAAACA
rnacentral:rRNA from 1 species